rnacentral:rRNA from 1 species
UACGUAGGGGGCAAGCGUUGUCCGGAUUUAUUGGGCGUAAAGAGCGUGUAGGCGGCUAGGUAGGUCCGUUGUGAAAACUCGAGGCUCAACCUCGAGACGUCGAUGGAAACCAUCUAGCUAGAGUCCGGAAGAGGAGAGUGGAAUUCCUGGUGUAGCGGUGAAAUGCGCAGAUAUCAGGAAGAACACCCGUGGCGAAGGCGGCUCUCUGGAACGCAACUGACGCUGAGACGCGAAA